ACCAGCUUGCCAGCCCCACCGCCACCUGAGGAGUCUGCUUUGGCCAUUCUCAUGGCUGACGGUAAUGAAGGCCGUUCCAGCGUCCCAGGGAGCAGCCUGACACAGCAACUCGAAGGACAGGAACAGUGUUCUGGGAGUCCAGUCAUACGGUCCCUUUUUGGAUUGACCCCUCCCAUCUGCUGCUGGGACACAGGAUGGCAUCUCUAGCCUCACACCCAAUCAUGCAGGAUUCACUCCCUGUUCUGAGUUGUACUACAGAGAUUUCUGGCAUGAACUGACAAUGAAGAGUCUCAGCUCCAGCCCCCGGGGAAGCCAGUAAACAUCGUGAGGACACUCCAGACAUGCUAUGCGGAGGUCUAUGUGGUGAUGAGCUGAAGCCUACUGCCAAUAGUCACCUUGCCAGAUGAGGGAAGGAGCUCACUUGGAAGCAGACCACUAAGCCCCAGUCGAGCCUUCAGCUGACUGCUAACCUCUUACUGCAGAAUCAUGAGUGACCGGGAGCCAGAAUCACCCAAGCAAGAAAUUAGGAGCUUUCGCUGUGGAGUCUACCCUACAGCCUCCCGCUACCUGCCUCCCUGUGUCUGGUAGGCAGCACAGUUGCGAGUAGCACAGGAAGGACAAGUUGAGUCCAGCCACUUUCUCUGAUGUCUGCUUGACCUUCGAGGGACUCACAGUUUCAGCCUCACCAACUAGCUGAGCAGCUUCAUUGCCUGUUUCUUGCUUUGCAAGAAGUCAUAGACCUGGUGAUGAAUCCAGGAACACAAAAGUGGGAGCAGGGGGACUUAAGAGGAUCUCAUGGUGCUCGAACUGGAAAGCUCUUCUUGGUGGACUAGAGCUGACUGAGGCAGCGUGAACCUGGGUGCUGCCUGGAUUGAAGAAGCAGGGGUGUUCCUCACAGCAGAACCCUGGGAUGGAGCAGUGAUGGGGGCUGGGAACUUGGACUGGAACAAAAGCUUGACUUGGAAGCUGGAUGAAACCAGAGUGACAUCAAAGACCAUGACGGGAAUGCCGCAAGAUGCAAACAGACAGCUUGGAAGAAAAUACCCCACCUGUGUCCAGCUUUGAUUAGUUUGCCUCCAUUGGCAGGACUGGAAAACCCUAAGAGAGAAACCUCGAGAAAAGGAAACCCUGGUGGAAUCUGAAAUGCAGGACUUUGCCACACUGGAGAGCCAUGGACAAGGCCUAGUGACUAUUGUUUCUCUUGAGCACACUGGAAUCCUGGGAAAGACUGUCCCCUAAGGCUGCACCCCCAGAUCUUCACCACCAUAGAAAUGGCGGGGGUAAAAAUGAAAACAGUGUGAAAUCCAUAGAUUGGGUCAGCUCCAUGUUCCCUGUCCCACCUAUGGGAAGGUGAAGUUGAAUGGUGAGGGAGAAUCUAACGACUUGGGAGAGGACUCAAGAAGAAGAAGGCAGAGAGAAGUUCUGGAGGAUGCCUGUGGAGCAGAGACUUGUGAAGAAGCUGUGCUUGCUUUUUAGCCUGGGACUUGUACUUGGGGAAUGUGGAAAGAAACACUUGAAAGAGACAGAGAUGUGGCUGAGAGAACUGUGGGAAGGCUGACAAUGGCAACAUUUAUCUUGAUUUGUAUUUUGAUUUUGCUUCUUUCCUUCCAAACUUGCCUGACCCCUUCUGUUCCUUUCUUAUGGGUCCCAACCAGAAAAUGGAGAGACUUGUGGCAAGUUUUUGGGCCCCAGUUAUUCUGUUUUAGGCCUACCCUGUUUGGCUGAGCAUUUACCCAUGAGUGGAUGGGUAACUGGGUAUUUAAUUAGAAACUAUUUUAAGUAUAUUCUUUCUCUUUUCUCUAUUACACACUAAUGAUAUAAAAGUUCUUACCAACUGAAGACUUACACACUAAAAAUAUUUUUGUCUUUAUAUGGCAGAUGGCAGAACCCAUUCAGAGUGUGCAGAUUUGGGGGUCCUAGGGUGCCCCUCAUUCUGCCCACUAACACAAUGAGGGUGCCCCUCAUUCUGCCCACAUCUCCAGGAGAUGUUGUACAUGCCACCUGUGUGCCUACAGUUAUCCAUCUCUUGAUGUAACAGGAUGCUUCUCUGUCCCAGAGAUCUUGAUCAUUUAAUCAUCCACAGUAGGAAGAGAAGAUUAUCAGGAAAGUUGAGAAAACAGGUUUAGAAAAGAUGUCUCUCAAAAUGUCAUAGCUAAUAAAUGAUGAAGCCAGUUUCAAAUCUUGGUCAGUGGAAUAUUCUUCAAGAUGAUGUAUUUCUCUCAUCUUUCUCUCUUCCACAGUUAACAAAAUCAACAAUGAGAACAGGAAAUAGGAAAUUAUGAAACAAUUGGCACCUUCAAUUAAAAAAAAAAAGCCAAAUGAGAGAGAGAAGGAAAAAUGUUCACAAUCUGAGAGAGUGAAGUGUGAAACUGAAUGGUUGCAAGGUGUGUGAGUGGGGUGCAAGCACACACAUGCUUUGUUUGCUUUGUGUUUGUCAAACACAAUGCAGAAAAUCCUCAGAUAUGGGGUGGGGGUGCUGCAAGAGACUUUAAAAACUGGGUGAGAUGGAACACUGGAGAGAAGAGUUAUUUAAAAGUCUGUGUAAGCAUCAUUUAGAUACCAGAUUCUUAUCCCGUUUCUGCUGAAGAUCUAUAAUUUAUUCUUUUGAGAAACAAAACCAGAGGAUUGGAUGGUGGACUGGGAGGCUGGGAGAGAGCUAUGUCUUGAUUUGCCUUAAUCAAAAGUCAGUAGGUGAUAUCUUAAUCUGAUAAAUCUGGGGAUAACUGCAAAUGUAUAUUAUUUUAAGACAUAGUGAAAAAACUGCAAAAAUAGCCCAAAGUAUUAAAAAUUAUUGCAUAGACAAAAGUAAAUGGUAUAGUGGUGAAUAGAUGAUACGAAAAUAGCCAGUGUUGAGAAUCAUGGACACUGGAUGACAGGUACAUGGAGGUCCAUCAUAUCAU